CCUGCAGGAUGAAAAGCACAUGGCAAGUGAAAGUUGGAAGAGAUGUUUUCUUGGAAGGUGGGAGAAAUGAACUGAAGAAAACCUCAGGAGAAGCGAUGUGCUACAGUUCUGGCAAAAGGGCAGAAAAACAGAACAGUUGAAUCUGCGCAGAACAUUUUGUUCUUGAAGCCUUCACCGUCUGGCAAGAACCAAGGAGUGGUUUUCCUCCCUUCUGUAUGAUUCAAGAAACAAGUUUCUCCAUGUUCAGACAUGGGGCCGCUCUUGGUGGACUUUGCUGCAAGGCGAGCUUUUGCAGAGAGCGCUGUUGUUCAAGCCUUGUAAAGGAUCUCCAGCCACACAAGCAUCUUGCUAUUCCAGUCACACCCUGCUCACCUCAACUUUAAUGUCAAAGCGUUUCCCUUCCCUCUCGUCCCAGUUCCAGACUAGCUGGUACUUCCCUGCCUGCGCUGCCCAUCAAGCAGCAGCCCAGCACACUCCAAGCUCCUUGCAGCGCUAGAGUCAUAGAGUAGUUUGGGUUGGAAGGGACCUUCAAAGGUCAUCUAGUCCAACCCCCCUGCCAUGAGCAGGGACAUCUUCAACCAGAUCAAGUUGCUCAGAGCCCCAUCCAGCCUGGCCUUGAAUGUCUCUAGGGAUGGGGCAUCUACCACCUCUCUGGUCAACCUGGGCCAGUGUUUCACCAACCUCAUUGUAAAAACUUUCUUCCUCAUGUCCAGCCUGAAUCUGCCCUUCCUUUAGUUUAAAACCAUUACCCCCCGCUCUGUCCUAACAGGCCCUGCUAAAAAGUCUGUCUCUAAACUACCCAGGCUGUAGGCAGCCCUGCCUAUACCUCACAACAUGCCGAGCUGCUGGGUGCCAGCAAGCCCAAGGGCUCAGGAAGCUCCCACGCCUGGAACCAGCACUAGAGGCUGGAUGGGAAGCAAGUCUCCUCUGCCAAGCCUCUCUUCAGAAGGCGUUACAACCAUGUCUAAGGACUGCCGGUAAAUGCAGGGUAUCUUCCAGUCAGGCCCACGCACUCCUAUCAUUGCAGAUACUCUUGGCCCGGAAACCUCUGUGACCUGGGGGGAUGCCAGCACUCAUGCUGUCUCACAGCACAGGAAUUUUGACAUUGCUGUUGUUUUCUCAUUCUACGUACCCCAGGGACAGAUGGUGACUAAGUUCAGAGCAACUGUCUUAUGACCAGCCCCCAACAAAGUAAGAGGCAUAUAAGCUUUGUGGUCUUCUCCUUCUCCCUUGUUUCUUUUUUUUUUUUUUUCCAUUUCAAUACACCCUUCUCAUCUCAGGCAUGAUAGAGUGCCAGCCUGCAGACCUGUCACUGAGCCCUGUUUCUCUAUAGGGCCAUCCCAGGUCACAACAAGGCAGGGUUAGGCAGCCCUGCUCUCCAGGUGUUGGGGUUACAGUCACAAAGCCAGAUAAGCCUCUAAAUUUGUCCUAUCACCAGCCUAUCUGUUGAUAGGGUGGCUGCGGAUGCGUGUCUAGCAGCAGCAGUGGUUGCUGGGGUGCAGACAUUCAUCUGCAGCUGACCAGAGCCCACCAGUCAUUGCAUGCAAGGGCGAUGAUUUAAGGAAGUUGCUGGCAGGCACAUUCAGGAGUUGGGCCACCAGUGGAAUGUCAGCAUGGCUGCUCCAUCCACUGGAUGCUGUGGUGCCAGCAGCAAGCUGGUGCCCACAUUCCCACGUACAACCUUCCACUGUCACCUGGUCGUUCAGGUGCUGCUGGAUGGACCUUGCACAGCAGCUGUGUUCCCACUGCAAUGGAUUGUUAAGAACUUGGAGGUGGAUGGGGUAGUGAGGUGCAGCAGCCCCAGUUCAUUUCUUUUGGCAAGGAAUCUGCCUCUCUGACAGAACUCACACUCCCAUGCUGCCCCGCUUGGAGCUGGUCUAGAGAACUGUAUGGAAAAAGUACACCUGCAGGGUCAAAAUUGUCACUGGGAAAGUGGGAAGUGUUAUAGGUGAAGAACCAUGGUGGAGUCAGCUGGUGCUUGGGAAGGUAUCAGGGCAGUAUGUGAUUGUAAGACAGUCUCACCAUCUCCAGACGACAUGCAAGGAGAAAGGUCUAAACUAUGAACAAGAGAUUUUAGUGUUAGUGGUGGUGAAAAGAGCAGUUCAUACUUCACAAAGCCAAAAUUUUAGGUUGUCUGCAAACUGUGGAAGGCUGUGCUUUGCCAAGCAGCUUACUAGCCUGUACGGAUAAUUCAUUCUGAAAAUAGCUGUAGAUUCAAAAUAACAUAACUCUUCCAGAACAAGCCUCUAUUCAAGAUGGGAAAUUGUUCCAGAAGAGCUUCCACAGAACAGGUGAUUUUGAUGAAGACUAGCCAAGAUGCAUCUUCCCAACCAGCAAGAUUUCAACCCAGCUGCCAGUCAGACUGUACAAUGCAGUCUUGUGCUAUUGCUGCAGUAAGAACAAAGUAUCUCUGCCUUUCAAGCCCUUGCCUAUGCAAAUCUCAAACAAAGACCUUUGAAUACGAUCAAGGUUUUCCAUCAUCCUUAGAAGGGCAAGUAUGCAAACAUCCAAAAACUGAAUUCAAGAUAGGGCUUGAGAAAAGCUAUGGAGAAGUAAGGAUUUAAAAGAAUACUAGAGAAGCCAAAAAAUACAUACCGGAGGCAGGAUAGCUCUUAUCUCAACAUACUGUAUGUUAUCUUCAUAGAGCUCCAGCAAUCCCUGGUAGAAAUAGGCCUUGAAGACGGGUGCAUAGCAGAUAAGUCCAGAGGCAAUGAGAAAGACUUCUUCAAAUCUUUUCCAAAUGAAAGUCUGAGAAGGGUAGGCCAGCUCGGGGGCAUCUGUCACGAGGGUCAGGUUUCUCAGCAAGCUGUAGAAAAGGAUAAAGGGAAGAGGAAGAAUGAGGAGAAAAACAACUAAACCAGCUUUCAGCAUUCAAAGAGACACUGGCUAGCAGAUGGGUGUUUGUUACAGGAGGAAAUAGGAUUCCUCCAAGACAGGUGUGAGUUUUAUUUUCAGAGACCAAGCAUUGCGGAUGUGGGACUCUCUGACCACAUGCUCUGGGGUGCAGCAGGGCAGCAGCUCUGCUGAAGGAGGCAUGUGGGUUUUGGGCAGGACCAAGAAAAGGUGCAAAGUUGUUCCUGCCACAAUUGGAGCCUGUUGACACUGCAAUACAUAUAGGCGUAAAAAUGACUGGUGCAACUAGGAAGCAUUCAGGUCGUUUUUCUGCCUGUAUUCCCCUUUCUGUAUUUACUCCUCUAGUGGCUGGUACACAUAAUAACUGUACCCUUUGACAGGUAAAAACUCACAUGCUGCAUAUUGAGCUACAAGCUGGGUAAGACUAGAUGUUCAAAGUACCCACAUCUUCCUUUUUUGAGGGGAAAAUCUAAAGGAAUAAUGGAGUUAUAAAAGGAAGUGUGAUGGUUUUAUAUGAUUAGAAUUGUUUUCUCUUACCCAGGGGUAUCCUUAAUCCAAAAUCAGACUAGUACAUUACUCCUGCAGACAAUAUAUUCUCCCAAACAUCUUCAAUGCAUGUAAAAAGUUAUGACUACCAGCCCUCUGUUCACUACCUAAAGGCCGACAGAGUCUCUGGGAGAUGCCAUGCACUGGGCCACCACCAACCUGCUUACUAAGCCUGUAACUUGCCCUGGUACAUUUGUGUUGUCAAAAUAUGUAAUCUAAUAUAAGCAAGUGGGAAAUGAUUGUCCAUCAGAAAUCCUUUCCCCCCUCAGAGGAACAAACAUGAUAUCCCACCUGCCUUGCUGAUAACUUCUUCAGAAUUCACUGGUGAGAAACAACUGAUAAAAAUCACAGGUCCUGGCUUUUCUUUAGUGGGACAGAAACAUAUUUAUUUCCUCUAUAGACUCAGCUGGCGUAUAAGCCUCUUUCAGAAAUGCAGAGGCGGAGGGUGGUUUUAUCAAGCAGAGUUUAAGGGAGCCAGUAAUUGCAAGACUAUCUAGUUGGAGGUGACAGCUUGCAUUUAGGACAGCACGAGCAUCUGCCACAAUGCUGUCCUCUGACAAGCUGAUAGCCUUCAUCCCACUCAAAGCCUUGCCUCAGCAACAGCUCGCCUCCCUCUGCCAGUGGGCACCUCAAGAAGGGUUCGUAAUAAAUUUCUUAGGCCAUGGGUGGGCAAACUGAAGCCAUCACAGCAAGCUAUAGAGCCGGGUGCUUGCACAUGGAUGGGUUUACCAGUCUGACCAUGCCUGAUCUUUAUCUAGUACUGGAGGGCUAAGCAGGUUCAGACAGAAAUACUUUUGACUGUGCUUCAUCCUUCAACCAAGUAUAUUGUUCCCCUCUAGAACAGCUACAGAUCUUUAAUAAUGUUUUGUAUUUGAUGUCUUGCCCCCCAUCCUCACGCAGCAAUCUGCUCUAUUAUAUGGGAGAAGUGGGUUUGAUUUGUGCUCUUAUUAUCUUCUUCCAGGAGGCUUCUGUGGAUGGAAUUAAAAACCUCCCUCCUACAGACAUGAAAUGUGAUCUGGUCCAAACUCAUAAACUAAGAAGAGUCCCUCCAUCCUGCCUAUAAAACAGACCCUGUUCCCCCAGCAUCUGCCUGCUCUUUUGCUCUCUAAGGACCCUCUUCCAGUGGCUGCUGUUUUGUUUCUUCUUCACUCUCUUAAUUUCUAUGCUUGAAACAAUUUUAAAAAGCAAAACUCUACAUAAAGAGAUGCUCUUACCACAUUAA